GACGAACGCUGGCGGCGUGCUUAACACAUGCAAGUCGAACGGAAAGGCCCCUUUGGUUGUACUCUCGUUGCGAACGGGUGAGUAACACGUUAGUAACCUGCCCUUGGCUUCGGGAUAACUGCAGGAAACUGGGGCUAAUACCUGAUACGAAUCCUUGCUGCAUGGUGGGGGUGGGAGAGCUUCGGCGGUUUUGGCUGGACUCGCGGGGUAUCAGCUUGUUGGUGGGGUAGUGGCUUCCCCAGGCUAUGACGGGUAGCCGGCGUGAGAGGGCGACCGGCCACACUGGAACUGAGACACGGUACAGACUCCUACGGGAGGCAGCGGUGGGGAAUAGUGGACGAUGGGCGCAAGCCUGAUGCAGCCAUGCCGCGUGUAUGAAGAAGGCCUUCGGGUUGUAAAGUACUUUCAGCGGGGAGGAAGGGAGUAAAGUUAAUACCUGUGCUCAUUGACGUUACCCGCAGAAGAAGCACCGGCUAACUCCGUG
rnacentral:rRNA from 1 species